rnacentral:rRNA from 1 species
GAUGAACGCUGGCGGCGUGCCUAAUACAUGCAAGUCGAGCGAACGGACGAGAAGCUUGCUUCUCUGAUGUUAGCGGCGGACGGGUGAGUAACACGUGGAUAACCUACCUAUAAGACUGGGAUAACUUCGGGAAACCGGAGCUAAUACCGUAUAAUAUCUUGAACCGCAUGGGUCAAAAGUGAAAGACGGUCUUGCUGUCACUUAUAGAUGGAUCCGCGCUGCGUUAGCUAGUUGUUAAGGUAACGGCUUACGACGGCAACGAUGCAUAGCCGAGGUGAGAGGGUGAUCGGCCACACUGGAGCUGAAACACGGUCCAGACUCCUACGGGAGGCAGCAGUAGGGAAUCUUCCGCAAUGGGCGAAAGCCUGACGGAGCAACGCCGCGUGAGUGAUGAAGGUCUUCGGAUCGUAAAACUCUGUUAUUAGGGAAGAACAUAUGUGUAAGUAACUGUGCACAUCUUGACGGUACCUAAUCAGAAAGCCACGGCUAACUACGUG